rnacentral:rRNA from 1 species
CAUAUGCUUGUCUCAAAGAUUAAGCCAUGCAUGUCUAAGUCCAAGCUGUGUUCACACGGCGAGACCGCGGACGGCUCAUUAAAUCAGUCGUGGUCCAAAUGGGCCAGUGCAAAUCCUACUUGGAUAACUGUGGUAAUUCCAGAGCUAAUACAUGCAACUGAUAUCCCGAAGGCGGUGUUUGGGCUUGCUUGCCUUGCGCUGCGCUGCUCUGACGGAUGCUUUUAUUAGACCAAGCCGCUGAGGACUUGAGGGUUCGCGCUCUCUUGUCUGACUCGUGUGAUGGUGACUCUGGAUAACCAAAUUCUGACAAGCGCACGUACUUCUCUUCUGAGCGAGACGGCGCUGCCACUUUCGAGUGUCUGCCUUAUCAGCUAUCAACCGUUCGUUAUGCGCGACCGAUGGCUUUGACGGGUAACGGGGAAUCAGGGUUCGAUUCCGGAGAGGCAGCCUGAGAGACGGCUACCACGUCCAAGGACGGCAGCAGGCACGCAAAUUACCCAAUCCCAGCAAAUGGGGGAGGUAGUGACGAAAUCUAACGAUGCGGGCGCCCUUUCUGGGGCCCCGCAAUCGGAAUGGGCACUUUCUAAACAACCUGUUGAGAACCUACUGAAG